UUGUGUGUAAAUAAUACCUUUAAUACUUUAGUAUCUAGUAGAUAUUUUAGUUUUUAUUUAUUUAUUUUAGGGAUUAAACAAUUAAUAGACAAAAUACAACAAAGAUAUAAGCGUUGAAUAAAUAUUAAUAUUAAAAACUACAUUAUAAAUAUUCAUACUAAAAACUUUUAAAUUAAUAAAAACAACAGUUUAUAAUUUUUAGCAAAAAAAGAAAUGGGAUUUAAAGAAAAAACAUCAAAUAUGUUAACGCAAUUAUUAUUAGUCAAAUAUUUACCAUUAUAAUUACCUAUUCAAUGUUUAAACAUCUGUCACCCUUUAUGUAUGUAAAUUAUCUAAAGUCUAAGAUCACCAGAUACAGAUAAUAAUAAUAAUAAUAAUAAUAAUAAUAAUGAUAUGAAUAAUAAGUAUAAUUAUUUACCUAAUAUUAAUGAUUAGGGUCCGGAUUUAAAUAAGUUAAAAAUCCACAAAAAACAAUUGAAAAUUAAAUAAAAGUCCUUAACAAAUAUUAAAAAAAGCAAAAAUGUUAGAUGAUAUAGAAGUCUUCUCCUAUAACUUAUUAAAUUACAUAUUCUUAUCACUACAAAAAUAAUAAAGUAAUUUUUUUAAUACAUAUAAUUUUAUUUUAAAAAAAUUACCCCUCAAAUAUGUUUGCUUUUUAAAAUAUUUUUACAGUGAUUUUUCAGGGCUUUUUAUUUUUUUCAAACAUUGUUUUUGUAGAUUUUAAGUGGAUUUUUAUCCAGUCCUUAGUAAU